rnacentral:lncRNA from 1 species
CCCGAAACGAGUCUGUGAUAGUUGUGGCGCGCUAGUUGUUGACAAGACGCAACGACAGAAUAAUAUGAAGGAUGGCUGAUGAUAUGAAUUUGUCAGAUAAAUUAACCAAUGAAGAAAAUAAACCAGAUAGCCUCAAGAUAGAAAAGAAAGAAAUUUCUAAUGAUACAGAAAAAGAACAAUUAGAGAAAAAGCAUUUAUGUGAAGAAGAUUCAAGUCAAACUGAAAAAGACUUAAAAUCCCCAAAGGAUCCUGUUGCUGUUCUCCAUUUAUCUUGUGAAUCAGAAACUGAUGAUGGGUAAUACCAGAUUCAAUGAAACAAUAAAUUAUUAAUUUUAAUAAUGAAGUUCAAU